rnacentral:rRNA from 1 species
UACGUAGGGGGCAAGCGUUGUCCGGAUUUACUGGGCGUAAAGAGCGCGCAGGCGGCUGGUCAAGUCCGAUGUGAAAUCUCCCGGCUUAACUGGGAAACUGCAUCGGAAACUGAUCGGCUUGAAGGUGGGAGAGGGUAGUGGAAUUCCCGGUGUAGUGGUGAAAUGCGUAGAUAUCAGGAGGAAUACCGAUGGCGAAGGCAGGUCUCUGGGCUGACACUGACGCUCAUGCACGAAAGCGUGGGGAGCAAACAGG